rnacentral:rRNA from 1 species
GGGAUAAUCGGGAGAAAUCCCGUCUAAUACCGCGUAAUGCCGCGGGGCUGCAUGGCCCUGCGGCCAAAGGGAGCGAUUCCGGCAACGGAUGGGCAUGCGUGACAUUAGCUAGUUGGCGGGGCAACGGCCCACCAAGGCGACGAUGUCUAGGGGUUCUGAGAGGAAGGUCCCCCACACUGGUACUGAGACACGGACCAGACUCCUACGGGAGGCAGCAGUGAGGAAUAUUGGUCAAUGGGCGCGAGCCUGAACCAGCCAAGUCGCGUGAGGGAUGACGGCCCUACGGGUUGUAAACCUCUUUUGUCGGGGAGCAAAUUCCGCCACGUGUGGCGGAGUCGAGAGUACCCGAAGAAAAAGCAUCGGCUAACUCCGUGCCAGCAGCCGCGGUAAUACGGAGGAUGCGAGCGUUAUCCGGAUUUAUUGGGUUUAAAGGGUGCGUAGGCGGACUGUCAAGUCAGCGGUAAAAUACGGGGGCUCAACCUCCGCCCGCCGUUGAAACUGACGGUCUUGAGUGGGCGAGAAGUAUGCGGAAUGCGUGGUGUAGCGGUGAAAUGCAUAGAUAUCACGCAGAACUCCGAUUGCGAAGGCAGCAUACCGGCGCCCGACUGACGCUGAAGCACGAAAGCGUGGGUAUCGAACAGGAUUAGAUACCCUGGUAGUCCACGCAGUAAACGAUGAAUACUAGCUGUCCGGG